CUUGGUUCAUGCAAGAGAGUGUAGCGCAGAACCAAAGUCUCACUAUUUGUAAUUAAAGAUCGUUUUGCUGUUUAAAAAGUUCCCAGGCAUGAUUAAGAAUGCUAAAUGCAGAUUCAGCUAUUAAUUGAUGUUCCACUGAAGUCUGCUGGGGUAGUUUAUCAGGAUGCACUCGGGACACCGCUUUCAUGUAGGCAAUCUUCACCUUCUUUGGUAAGACCAAUUCAGAAAGCGAAACCUUUUGCCAGCGGCAUUCAGGCCACAAAAUAGUAUCUAAGGAAGCAAGCAGUGCUCGUAAGUUGCUCUCUUUCCCCUCUUUCCACUUAUUCACAAUUUGUUGCACUGGCUCACGUAAACGACUUCUUUCUUCGUCUAAUUGCUCUGCUUUUUGCUGAGCCAUUCGAACGUGUUGUAACCUCUCUGAUUUUACCUUUAUAUUGGUGUGAUUAGGGGUACUUUUUGGCUGUUGUGUUGUGCGCUUAGAAUGAGAUUCGGAGGAGUGAGAAGAAAUGGCUGCUUCGCACCUGUGUUUACCAUCAAUAUAUAGCUUGCUUAUUUGCCCGUCUGCAAUAAGAUCUUUCCAAAUAUUCAAAGAUUCUUGGUACUUUUCGAGCUGCUCUAAAACUUGUGCCUUUCGAACCAUAUUUUUUACAUAGUAAUCAUUCAUACUCUUGUCUCUAAUGCUUUCUCCAUGUCCUUUUUCUUCUCCAAUAAUAUCCACUAGCUCAUCUACGUCUUGUAAGCAAGUCUUGAGAUCUCCAACUUUCUGAUAACACAAGCUACGGUUGCUGAGAAGAGGGACACGCUUUGUAUGCUUGGCAGGUAAUUGAGAAAGCGAGUUUGUAAACUCUUCAAUGGCUUGGCUAAAAUCACCUUUGCGAAAAAGUUCAUUUCCUGUCGAUUGUUGUUCUUCUACUAGAGCGCUUACCAUGUUAUUCAAAGUCUCUUCUUCGCGCUUCUUAACAGUGGACUUCCCAGGUUUAUUAUUGUUAACUUGACGAGCCGUUGUUGAUUCAUAAGCCGUUUCAAGUAUAUUCUCUGUCCCUUCGUACGUAUCGGAUGGAAAGUUAAAAGAGCUAUUGUCUGACUUAGAAGUUAAGAAAUCGACUAAAGAUGAUUCAUCAUUUCCUGACCGGCUUUGAUUAGUGGUGAUUCUGUCUUCAGAAACCUUUUCAUUCAUAGGAACUUUGUGCGGCUUCCGUUUGGGAAUUGGGGUUUUAGGAAGGAUUUCAGGAGUUGCUUCGCGGCCAAAAUCAUGGGAAGCAUCCAUCCAACGAGGUUUGCUAGGAUCUUUCACCGCUCGCCUCUCCUCAACUGCAUCUCUAAGUUUCUUUCUUCCAAUGUUCCAAAGAUCAUUAGCCUUUUCAAAUAACUGACUUUUUAAUUGAUUGGAUAACGCUUGAAAGUCUGAAAAUUGAGUUUUUGCACUUGAAUCUGAAAAUGCUUCAUAAGCUUCUCCUUCACGAUACUGUCCUUUUGCAUUAUCUUUUUCAAGAAUGUACUCUAUGGCAUCCUCCAGGCUCCCGGAAUUUUCUAAAGCCAAUCUGCUUUGAUCGUCAGAAAAGCCCAAAUCGCGUAGCUUUUCAUACAUCUCGUUGGAACUUAACUUAUCCUUUGCAGUAUUCAUAUUAGUAAUUUCAUUAUGGUUUUCAAAGGGGAUAGAGGUUUCCGAACCAAUAUUCUCAAAGGCGGGUAAACUGACAGGCUGAUGCGGCUCUAAAGACAAAUCCUUUAAAGUUACUUUCUCGGAAGCCGAUACUUGUGGUUGUGAAAUCGGCCUUUUAUUUUCUUCAAUCUUAUCAUGAAUAACUGCAUCUUUAUCUCUAGGAGUAUUUGAUAAUUGAUGCAAAAUUUCAAGGUUUUCAAAGGGAUCGUAAUUUGAAGAUUUGGGGGUGGAAUUGGAGUCCGGAGUUCCAACUUUCUGCCUUUCUAGUUCUUUUAAGGAAAUUUUAUUAUCCGUUUUCUUUUGAAAUAAAUUAGCAAAAGGGUCUUCGGGCUUUGAUGCUUUCAAUGGAAUUUGUGCAUUCUUUUUCUGGGCUACUGGGGCGGGAAGGGAGUAGGAUGGCGUUCUACUAUUAUUAUUACUGUAAUUAUUUUGAUUAGAUGGUGUA